GACAGAGGUCCCGAGCGUUAGGCGGAAUCACUGGGCUUAAAGCGUGUGUAGGCGGAUCGUUAAGUGCCUUGUGAAAUCCCACGGCUUAACCGUGGAACUGCUUGGCAUACUGGCGGUCUUGAGCCACUUAGGGGCAACCGGAACAAACGGUGGAGCGGUGAAAUGCGUAGAUAUCGUUUGGAACGCCAACGGUGAAAACAGACGACUGGGAGUGUGCUGACGCUGAGACACGAAAGCCAGGGGAGCGAACGGG
rnacentral:rRNA from 1 species